rnacentral:rRNA from 1 species
UACGUAGGGUGCAAGCGUUGUCCGGAAUUAUUGGGCGUAAAGAGCUCGUAGGCGGUUUGUCGCGUCUGCCGUGAAAGUCCGGGGCUCAACUCCGGAUCUGCGGUGGGUACGGGCAGACUAGAGUGAUGUAGGGGAGACUGGAAUUCCUGGUGUAGCGGUGAAAAUGCGCAGAUAUCAGGAGGAACACCAGUGGCGAAGGCGGCUCACUGGCCCGAUACUGACGCUGAGGUGCGAAAGCGUGGGGAGCAAACAGG